rnacentral:tRNA from 1 species
AAUGGUAUGGCUCGGUGGUAGAGCACCUGCUUCACAAGCACAAGACCCUAAGUUCUUACAAACCCCAGUACCAUCA